rnacentral:sRNA from 1 species
GGCACACUGACGCCUCGAUAUGUAAGAGC